GAUGAAGAACGCAGCGAAAUGCGAUAAGUAAUGUGAAUUGCAGAAUUCAGUGAAUCAUCUAAUCUUUGAACGCACAUUGCGCCCGCCAGUAUUCUGGCGGGCAUGCCUGUUCGAGCGUCAUUUCAACCAUCAAGCCCUGCUUGCGUUGGGGUCCUGCGGCUGCCCGCAGGCCCUGAAAACCAGUGGCGGGCUCGCUAGUCACACCGAGCGCAGUAAUACAUCUCGCUUUGGGCGUGCGGCGGGUUCUUGCCGUUAAACACCCCCUUUUUACCAAGGUUGACCUCGGAUCAGGUAGGAAUACCCGCUGAACUUAAGCAUAUCAAUAAGCGGAGGA
rnacentral:misc_RNA from 1 species